GACAUCUGGUGGGAGGGCGUUCCACAGGGCGGGUGCCACUACCGAGAAGGCCCUCUGCCUGGUUCCCUGUAACUUGGCUUCUCGCAGCGAGGGAACCGCCAGAAGGCCCUCAGCGUUGGACCUCAGUGUCCGGGCAGAAUGAUGGGGGUGGAAUAUGGUCUGAAAUGAGUUGGGCAGCAGCAGCGAUUCCCUUUGCAAUCUAAUAGGCACUCCAGGAAAGAGGCAUCAACAGCCCUCAAACAAAAUGCUCUUUAUAAUUAAUUCAUUAUCAUUAAUCAGCACUAUUAUUUAUACUGUUCAAUGCCAAAACAAACCUCCAAACAGAUUUCAAGUAGUAGACAUACGUUUUUAGAUAAGGCAACUAAAUUGAUAAAGCCUACCUGUUUAAUGUGAGGGCAGCGUAAUGAACUUGGGGAAGUGCGUACAUACAUUCAAAAUAUGGCAGGAGUUAUUCUAAAAUUAAAUGUAUGGGGAAAGAGGCAAAAGACCUGGUAAACUGUAUAGGUUGAAAGUAUGCCUGCAUUGUAUAGGGUGGAAUAUAAUAGAGGGUUAUUAUGAGAUGGUGUCCGGCCCCAUUUUGAGGAGCAUCUGGUUCGGAACAAAUUAUCCCCCAGGGAUGCAGGGGAAAUGUAUAUUAUUGCUCAAAUGAGGAGGAUAGAAUUUGGCAUUGAGAGUUCAGGGACACAUAAUAGUAAUUCAGAGAGGUCAUAGCACCAUAGGGUAAAAUGUGUGCCAAAGACAUUUAGAGAGAUACAACAUGUACAAGUUAUCUAUAUGCUAAUGCUAGAAGCUUCUGAGUCAAGAUGGAUUUUUGGUCUUAGAGGACUGCACAGAUACAGUGGGCAUAAUGGAAACCUGGUAGAUGGAGUGGGGAUGAAAGCCCUUUGAAGCAGCUCACUAUUCUCCUUUCAGCCUCAAGCUAGUGGCACCAGGGUUGGGGAGACAACUCUCCUGUACUCCUCCACUGCCUCUGCCUCUUCACUUAAAGGACAAGUACAAGCUGCUUCAAGCAAGGCUUUUACAAAGCACAUUAAGGGAGCCUCCAGCACUAAGCAGGACACAGGCGCCCCAAUUGGCCAAUGCAAUGGAAGGGGGAGCCAGCUUGUUCUGGGCACGUGCCUGAGCUUACUGCGCAGAGGUCUCUGGCACACCCAAACCCAGCACUCAGCAGGAUCAUACCAUGUCCCCCUGGGCACCAGCUGAUGUGACAAGGAUCCUGCUGUAGGUGCACGUGUACAAAAAAGCCUUCUACAGGGAGUUCUCUCUCACGUACAUGAACCCAGCCAGUUUGGAAGAGCAUGUAACAGAAAGUAAGGCACUACCAAUGGGAAGGUUUCUUCCUUUGAAAGGAAGUGGGGGGAGUUCCCAUUAGUAGCACCUUGCUGCCUGCUACCUGCCUUGAAGUCCUGACUUUGGGACUUCAAAGCACCAAAUCCUCUGAAUUCAUUUGUGACCCACCCCCUGUCAAAUUUGGCCCGUGAGACAGAUUAUGAUAAGGAUCUGGCCCAUGGAGCCGGAAAGUUUCCCUAUCCCCAAUGUAUCCCACCUAUCAAAUUCAAUAUAUAUAAUAACUAGUGGCCUUGUAACUGGUGUUUAGAAAUUGCAAGAAACCAAGCAAUACAGCUUGAAAUUGGUAAAUAAAAUCAGUGCAGUUUUGAAAGUUGCACCUUUGUUCUGUUUUCUAAGAACUGCAGCCAUCUACUAUAAAAUUUUUAUCACAUGGCAUUUUUUACAUUUUGUGGCUAAAACAUGAAUUUACAUUUACUUUGGAUAAUAAGGAUUUUUAUGCAGUGUAUUCACUUUGAAUUAUUUUCUUCUUUGGAACUUUGCUAGAAAUUUGGGUUAGGUUUUUAAACCUUUACUUAGUUUUCUAGAGAGGGGUCACAGUACUGCCAUUUCAUGUUAAAAUCUACUUUUCUAGUAAAGUGCCCUAGUAGAACCAUGAUGCACAAAGCAGAAGUAGGGGAGACCAUAGCCUGACUCUAUCCUAUGAGUAUCUCAAUUGGUAGACCAUGAGACUCUUCAUCUCAAGAUCAUGGGUUUGAGCUUCAUGUUGGGCAAAAGAUUCCUGCCUUGCAAGGGAUUGGACUAGAUGGCCCUCAUGGUUCCUUCCAACUCUACAAUUCUAUGAUUCCUCAGUGCUGAAGUAGUUUUCAGGUGUUAUUUAAUGUAGUUUCUUGUGCCAGAAAGUCAUGUUUGCAAAUAAGUCCACAGAUGUUAUUAGCCCAUGAAAACAUUUGUCAAGAACGGUUUUCCAUGCUAAGUAAAUAUUUAUUUUCAGUGUUUUCUCCAGUAAGCAUUGGCCUCAUAUUGUUGUUGCAUAUUGUUUCUCUCUGUCACAUUUUGAUGUUUAAAAAGAAAGCACAUGUUGUGCUAGGCAUUCUGUAGACCUAAGCAGAUUAGACUGGUUUCAAAUUAUAUAGCAAAAGCAUUGCAAACUGGGUAACACCAGCAAAAGGAAAUCAAGGUCCCGUGAAGUGAUGAAAAUGUUUUGGUCAGCAAGGGAGUGGAAGUUUCACAUCUUACUUUUCUGCUGAUACUUUCACAGUUCAUAUCUGCAUCCCUUACUGGAAGCUCCCAUUUUAAAUAAGUACUAAAAAUAGCCAAGGCUCUGUAAGUUUGGGUAGGAUAAUCUAAAAAAUGUGGUGUCAGCUCUGCAAGGAUAUAGUGUUUUGUGGGUGAUUUCUCCUUUAUUAUACAAUACUUUAUUGUAAAGAACAAGGCUGUGAAAGAUCAAACUAGUAAUGUCCAGUUAUUCCAUUUUGCAAAAUAUGAGGGAUAUUGCAAAUGCUGAUAGCAAAUGAGAUUUUUGCAUACUGCUAUUUCUUUGACGAUGGAAAUCUAUAUGCUUUGUAUAUACAUGGCACUUCAGGUGAUAAAUGUUUAGCAAGGCUCCUAACGCAGCGGCAAGUGAAACCUCAUCCAGGACACAGGAAAUCAGUAGCAGUAGUCUUCUCUUAAUUGUAAUUAGCCCUGUCAUUUUUGAAUAUCAAGCAAAUUAAGUGGCUUAUUAUUGCUCUUGUUCCAACUGAGAGCCAGUGUGGUGUAGUGGUUAAGAGUGGUAGACUCAUAAUCUGGUGAACCAGUUUCGCGUCCCCACUCCUUCACGUGCAGCUGCUGGGUGACCUUAGGCUAGUUACACUUCUCUGAAGUCUCUCUCUCUCUCUUUUUUUAAAAAAAUAAUAUUUAUUACUUUUCCAAAAAAUUUAAACACUAAAAAAACCCAACCCCCCAAUACAAUACAAUACAAUACAAUACAUUAAACU
rnacentral:lncRNA from 1 species